ACAGAAUAUAUGGUUUUCUCAGCUGUUUUUUAUUCAGUUCUGUUUAAAUCUGCCUGGGACAAGAGUCUGAAUUAUGGUGGAUUUGAGGGUGUCAUGAUUAUAGUCCUCUUUGUGAUGGUGAUUCUGUUCAACCUCUUCUUUAUUAUUUACUGUAAGUAUUUCCUUCCAUCAAGAGUCAGUGAGAUGAAUGUGCUGUGAAAUCAUGAUUUACCAGAUUAAUGCUGUUUGUUAAAGGCACAAUAUAUAAAAACCAUAAUAUCAGACCUGAGUUAUCAGUUAAUUGAAGCAUUUCCAUUAGACAGAGUUUAUAGAGCAAAUAUAAUACUCAGAGUGUUUUACAUAGACAUGAUAAAGAGGAAAAUAGCAAUGAAAGAAUAGAAGAAAAGAAAGUAAAGUAAAUCAAAGUGUACAUUUUAAAUUUAUGAAAUGAAUGAAAAAGAUGGUCACUGUCCAUUAAAGGAUGUAAAUUGAAAUGAUGCAGUGCAUCAGCAGGUAAAGUCUCUAGUUUAUUCAGUCUCAGGCCAUUGAGUGAUUUAAAAACAAGUAAGAAAAGACAGAUUCUCCUUGUGCCCCCUAUUAUCUGCAGAAUACUCAAUUUUUCAUGACAGGAAACCAUAUUUAA